GGUAGCGUUCGUCCCGCCAGUCGAACCACCUCGGUGGUCAGGGAACCCGGUGAGAGUCCGGGACUGACGCGCAGCGGUAUGGGUGACGGGCGGGACACGCCGGGGGCGACCUCGACAGCCACUGGAUCGCUGAUCCGGGAAGGCGUCCCGUGCCGGUCGAACCCGAGUCCGAAGACCUGCUGGCUCCGACGACAACGG
rnacentral:ncRNA from 2 species